rnacentral:rRNA from 1 species
GAUGAACGCUGGCGGCGUGCCUAAUACAUGCAAGUCGAGCGAACGGACGAGAAGCUUGCUUCUCUGAUGUUAGCGGCGGACGGGUGAGUAACACGUGGAUAACCUACCUAUAAGACUGGGAUAACGUCGGGAAACCGGAGCUAAUACCGGAUAAUAUUUUGAACCGCAUGGUUCAAAAGUGAAAGACGGUCUUGCUGUCACUUAUAGAUGGAUCCGCGCUGCAUUAGCUAGUUGGUAAGGUAACGGCUUACCAAGGCAACGAUGCAUAGCCGACCUGAGAGGGUGAUCGGCCACACUGGAACUGAGACACGGUCCAGACUCCUACGGGAGGCAGCAGUAGGGAAUCUUCCGCAAUGGGCGAAAGCCUGACGGAGCAACGCCGCGUGAGUGAUGAAGGUCUUCGGAUCGUAAAACUCUUUUAUUAGGGAAGAACAUAUGUGUAAGUAACUGUGCACAUCUUGACGGUACCUAAUCAGAAAGCCACGGCUAACUACGUG